UACGUAGGGUGCGAGCGUUAAUCGGAAUUACUGGGCGUAAAGCGUGCGCAGGCGGCUUUGUAAGACAGAUGUGAAAUCCCCCGGCUUAACCUGGGAACUGCAUUUGUGACUGGAAGACUAGAGUGCGGCAGAGGGGGGUGGAAUUCCACGUGUAGCGGUGAAAUGCGUAGAUAUGUGGAGGAAUACCGGUGGCGAAGGCAGCCCCCUGGGUCGACACUGACGCUGAUGCGCGAAAGCGUGGGGAGCAAACAGG
rnacentral:rRNA from 1 species